rnacentral:lncRNA from 13 species
GUGGAGAGGGCUGGCAUCUGGGAGUCCAGGUAGGAGGCUGUUCCUGGGGAGGGUUUGGAGAUGGGGUGUGGCAAGGGCGGCUGGGGUUCAGGGCACAUCAGAGAAGUAGUAAAAUAGAGGUUCCACUUCGAAAAGAGGGGGCGUCAGGACAAAGUGGACUUCAUCCUCCGGGGAGUGGGAUCUCCAAGGGCUUCUGUGAAGGAGACACAAUGAUUGGUGAAUGAAGUCAUGAAUGCAGGACUGGAUGACUAGAUGGGUGGACUGGACAUGUUGGAAGAAAGAACAGAAGUGGGGAGACAGCCUAAUGGUCUCUGUACUUCCACAUUUCCCAGCAUAACAGCCUGGAGAGGUGACAUCUGAUGAAAGCACAGCUUCCAGUUGCUGAGUUGAUUGACUUAAGAAUCUGAACAUUCUGCCCACGUGGGCUCAAUUCUACUUCUGUGAGGAAAGUAGGCACAAGUGGAGAAUAAGAGGAACGAUGAAUAGCUCAGUGUCAACUGUUCAACAGUAUGCUUGGCGCUGGGUACAGUUGGGGAACAAGCCAGCAGUGGCCCAUGUCCUCACGGAAUGGACAGUGCCUGGAGGAAUGAUGGGAGCAGAGAUUUGGUUCAGCAAAUUCUGCCCCAUACAAAGCUGCCAGGUCAGUGGGAACCCGGCAUUUGUCAACAAGCUGAGCUCAAUGUGAUCUUCCAUGGGAACAACAGCCGAGACUACUUUCCAAAACAACUCACCCCACCCACGGGCUCACUCAGCACAUGUGGCAGGUUCCUGGGGAUGAGGUGUGUGGUGUGGGGAGUGGGGACUCAGGCUCAGGGCCAGGCACUUGUGGCUUGAAGAGAAGUGAGACUUAACCUGAACUGAACUGACUGAACUGCUCCAUUGCUGGGUGUCUUUAGACAAACUCCUUAACCUUCAAGUUUCUUUAUAAGUGAAAAUUGCUAAUAAUUGGCCAAAAGGGGCUUUGCAGAAAUUAGAAUAAAACAUUUAUAGAGUCUGGCCA